CAGAAAGCUAGUCUAACCAAGACA
rnacentral:tRNA from 1 species